rnacentral:rRNA from 1 species
CUACGGGUCCCAGCAGUGAGGAAUAUUGCACAAUGGGGGGAACCCUGAUGCAGCAACGCCGCGUGGAGGAUGACGCAUUUCGGUGUGUAAACUCCUUUUAUAUGUCAAGAAAAUGACGGUAGCAUAUGAAUAAGCACCGGCUAACUCCGUGCCAGCAGCCGCGGUAAUACGGAGGGUGCAAGCGUUACUCGGAAUCACUGGGCGUAAAGGACGCGUAGGCGGGUUGGAAAGUCAGGUGUGAAAUCCUACAGCUUAACUGUAGAACUGCACUUGAAACUUCUAAUCUAGAGUUUGGGAGGGGGAGAUGGAAUUAGUGGUGUAGGGGUAAAAUCCGUAGAUAUCACUAGGAAUACCUAAAGCGAAGGUGAUCUCCUGGAACAUUACUGACGCUAAGGCGUGAAAGCGUGGGGAGCAAACAGGAUUAGAUACCCGGGUAGUC